GCCUAUGGCCAUGCCACCCUGAACAAGCCUGAUGUCUGAUUUCGGAAGCUAAGCAGGGUCGGGCCUGGUUAACACUUGGAUGGGAGACCACCUAGGAAGACCAGGUGCUAUAGGCA
rnacentral:rRNA from 1 species